UAUAUAAUCACUCAACGGCUCUCGCCUCUCGGUGUUCGCGAAGUUCCCGAUAGGUUUAAGAAAAAAAAAAUCACACGGUAUUAUCAAAAUUGAACACUGAUUUCGCUUAAGUUAUUGGCUUUCUCUUCAAACCCACGGAAAGCCAAAUUACCCCCUAAAUUUUCAGCACAACAAGGAGCACCAUUAUUUUUUUGUUGUUGUUGGAAAUAAUCAUCAACAAGUAGCGUUUUUGGUAAUCUUAAAUUAGCAGGAGAAACCUAAAGUUGGAGGAUGAUACAUUUGUUUCCUGUUACUAGUUUUGUAAAAACAAAUGAGAUUGAUUCCAAAUCUUCAGUCUCCCAGGCAGACACCCAUCCACAAAGCCAUGGGUGAUAAAUGAUCUUCACAGCGGGCACGACUGCGUUGUAAAUUGAAUUAUGUUGCUUCUUUGCUUCAUUGGACAGCAGAUUUAGAUCACGUGUCUACUGUGAAAGAGAUCAUGUGUCUCAACGAAAAUGGCUCAUGCUCAAAGUAAUUAACUAGUGAACUCUUUUUUGUAUUUGUUGUUAUUAACGAUUGCUUGCAUCAUAAUUUAAAUAUACUGUAUUUGAAACAAG
rnacentral:lncRNA from 1 species